rnacentral:rRNA from 1 species
CGUUGCCUUCUCGUCUCUUUGGAUCCGUCCCGGCUGUCACUGAGAAGCGGCACAAGUGGCCACAGGUUGUUGCCCGGCGUCGGACAGCACAACUUGUUGCAAGAGUGCAGUAGUCCUCUUUGGGGUCCACUGCAGAAGGUGGUUUCUUUUUUCGCACGACCAGGGAGAAACAAGAUUGAUGUCAAGGAUGAGUUGUUGGAAGCUAUGUGUGCACAUGUACUGCUGGAAUCUGGCACAACAGCCGGAAGGCGUCCCACAAGGGAACUCGGUGAUUACAUGGGCUGUAAUCAGGAGCACUACAGUUUUGAAAGCAACCUCAUCACAUUCCAUGUCGCCACCGACAUUUUCCUCUUGCACAGGCCGAGGUCCCCAGGGAUCGAAAGUGAAGCGUCGGUCAAAUAUGAGACGAAGAUCCAAGCGAUAUCAGAUUAUAUGAUGUUCCUCCUCACGCAACGUAAGCACAUGAUACUGAAGCCAGGUGACGAGGGCAGCGACUACAAAAAGUCACUCCUCGAUUUGAAGGAAAUAUGGCGUGUAACCGGAACCAGCGGUCCUCCAAAAACAAGAGCCAGAAGGAUUGCCAAAAGCCUUCUAUACAUGGAUGCGCCUCAGGGCAGUGACCGGAAAUCAAGUUUUCUUUUUAACACCAACAAAACUCUCGCACUUGGUGCUGGCUGGGGCUUGAAGCUGUUACAUGAGCUGGAUUCGACACGGUAUGAUUCUGGAAGGGAUCCAAUGUCUGCCAGGUACAUUCACGGACUUGAAGAUUUCAUUCAGGUAUUCACUGAGGAGGCACAAACCAAUAUUAAACGGUAUAGGGACAGCAGGGAACAAUGGCAACUUCUCAAUUAUGUGUUGAAGCUGAUUCUUGAUUCAUGGGUACGUUUUCUCACUUUCAUGUCCCAAGAAUGCAGCAGGGAAUCCCAUGCCAAGCAGCUCAGCUGUGGUGGUGAGCUCUUAACCAUAGUCUGGCUGAUGAAACAACACGGUGCACUGAAUCUCAUUUCCAAGGACGAAUAAACUGCCCAUCAUCAUAUUUUCUCUACUCUGCUCUGCUUUGCUCUUUGUUUGUAACGAUUUAUAGUCUCCUGAUCAGCUUCUUUGUGUGUACAAGUAGGUCUCUUGCAGAUGAGAACCUGAAUGUGCCGAUGUAAUUCUCAUGCCUAUUCUACAUUAAAAUAUAUAUGUGUGUGUG